UCGCUAGCUCAGUCAUUAGAGCCUGAAACUCUUAAUCUCAGGGAUGUGGGUUCAAGUUCCACAUUGGGCAAAA